CCUACGGGAGGCAGCAGUGGGGAAUCUUGCGCAAUGGGCGAAAGCCUGACGCAGCCAUGCCGCGUGAAUGAUGAAGGUCUUAGGAUUGUAAAAUUCUUUCACCGGGGACGAUAAUGACGGUACCCGGAGAAGAAGCCCCGGCUAACUUCGUGCCAGCAGCCGCGGUAAUACGAAGGGGGCUAGCGUUGCUCGGAAUUACUGGGCGUAAAGGGAGCGUAGGCGGAUAGUUUAGUCAGAGGUGAAAGCCCAGGGCUCAACCUUGGAAUUGCCUUUGAUACUGGCUAUCUUGAGUUUGGGAGAGGUGAGUGGAACUCCGAGUGUAGAGGUGAAAUUCGUAGAUAUUCGGAAGAACACCAGUGGCGAAGGCGACUCACUGGCCCAAUACUGACGCUGAGGCUCGAAAGCGUGGGGAGCAAACAGGAUUAGAUACCCUGGUAGUCCACGCCGUAAACGAUGAGUGCUAGUUGUCGGCAUGCAUGCAUGUCGGUGACGCAGCUACGACAUAAGACACUCCGCCGUCGGGAGGUACGGUCGCGAAGAAUUAAACUAACGAAAGGAAGUUAGACGGCGUGAGACGUGCCGACGGACGACGACGAGGGAGUAGG
rnacentral:rRNA from 1 species